CAUCAUAUAAACACUUAACUAAACUCUCUACCAUUCAAGUUUUCAAGAGGAAAGAAAUCAAGAAAAAAAAAUGAAACAUGCAAUUAUGUAGACAUAUUCUGAAAAGCAAGAGUAUACAUGAAUAAAUAUAUUUAUUCUAAAGAUGACAUAAGUUUAUACUUGAUAAAACUGUUGCUGUUGCAAAAAAGGAUGUUUCUGCCUUGAGAAUGUAGGUCUAUACCUCAUAAGUCCUUUUCCCUAAAACAAAUGGAUUGAAUUUGAUGUUUUUGCUACUGCUGCGAGAAUAAAGGAUUCAAGCUUUGAAGGGGGUUUAUUUUAUGGUUUUGUUAUAGCUGAUACAAAGGAUGAAUAAAGGUUUUUUGGCUUUACUCAACAAUUAUAAAUGACAAGCAAGGAUUGUGGUUUUUUGUAACGAUAAAACAAUCCUUUCAAAUGCUUAUGGCUUUGUAGCUGGAUAAGGCUUCUGUAAUGGCAAAUAUCAUAUGAUGCCUCAAAGUUAGGGUAAUUGGGAAACCACUUAUAUGUUUUGUUCC